GGAAGGAGAUCACAACAUCUCUGCAUAUAUCAUUGGUGAUUUCAAUUGUAUAUAAUGGCACUCUGGAAAAGUGUCAUUGUGAUCAUAUUUUUAUAUAUCUGGGGAUGUAAAUCUCAAGACAAAGUUGAUCAGCACACAAAGAUUCAGUCUGCUUUUGAAGGUGAUGAUGUAACAAUCAACUGUACAUAUCAGACGUCUUACCCAAACCCGACUCUCUUCUGGUACCAGCAGAAAGUUAAUGGGAUCCCCAAGUACAUGUUGAAUAGAAUCUCUAACACUGGACGAAAUGAGGAUGAAUUCGAGGAGAGAAGAUUUCAAGCAAAUCUCAGCAAAACUUCAGUUCCUCUGACAAUCAAGAACCUGUGUGUGUCUGACUCUGCUGUGUACUACUGUGCUCUGAAGCCCACUGUGACUCAAACACACUCAACACUCACACAAAAACUCUCACAGUGCAACAGCAUCAGUUACAUCAUUAUGCUGUUUCAGUUUGUAUUAGAAUAA